rnacentral:rRNA from 1 species
GACGUAGGGGGCGAGCGUUGUCCGGAGUUACUGGGCGUAAAGGGCGCGUAGGUGGCUAUGCAAGUCGGUUGUGAAAACUGCAGGGCUCAACCCGCAGCUUGCAUUCGAUACUGUAUGGCUUGAGGGAUGAAGAGGGAACUAGAAUUGCUGGUGUAGCGGUGAAAUGCAUUGAUAUCAGCAGGAAUACCGGUGGCGAAGGCGGGUUCCUGGUCAUCUCCUGACACUGAGGCGCGAAAGCUGGGGGA